UGGGCGUAAGGGCUCGCAGGCGGUUUCUUAAGUCUGAUGUGAAAGCCCCCGGCUCAACCGGGGAGGGUCAUUGGAAACUGGGAAACUUGAGUGCAGAAGAGGAGAGUGGAAUUCCACGUGUAGCGGUGAAAUGCGUAGAGAUGUGGAGGAACACCAGUGGCGAAGGCGACUCUCUGGUCUGUAACUGACGCUGAGGAGCGAAAGCGUGGGGAGCGAACAGGAUUAGAUACCCUGGUAGUCCACGCCGUAAACGAUGAGUGCUAAGUGUUAGGGGGUUUCCGCCCCUUAGUGCUGCAGCUAACGCAUUAAGCACUCCGCCUGGGGAGUACGGUCGCAAGACUGAAACUCAAAGGAAUUGACGGGGGCCCGCACAAGCGGUGGAGCAUGUGGUUUAAUUCGAAGCAACGCGAAGAACCUUACCAGGUCUUGACAUCCUCUGACAACCCUAGAGAUAGGGCUUUCCCUUCGGGGACAGAGUGACAGGUGGUGCAUGGUUGUCGUCAGCUCGUGUCGUGAGAUGUUGGGUUAAGUCCCGCAACGAGCGCAACCCUUGAUCUUAGUUGCCAGCAUUCAGUUGGGCACUCUAAGGUGACUGCCGGUGACAAACCGGAGGAAGGUGGGGAUGACGUCAAAUCAUCAUGCCCCUUAUGACCUGGGCUACACACGUGCUACAAUGGACAGAACAAAGGGCUGCAAGACCGCAAGGUUUAGCCAAUCCCAUACAUCUGUUCUCAGUUCGGAUCGCAGUCUGCAACUCGACUG
rnacentral:rRNA from 1 species